ensembl:misc_RNA Y_RNA Y RNA
GUCUGGUCCAAUGGCAGUGGGUUAUCAGAACUUAUUAACAUUAGUGUCACUAAAGUUGGUAUACCACCCCCCUUCUCCCCCCCAAUGCUAAAUUUAGUUGGCUUAA